CAUCAGAUCCAGCAGAUGGAGCACAACUCAAAGGCAAGACCUGCAUAGUAUUUUUAUUUUAUAUAUAUCUAAAAAAAAUUCUACAUUUUUUGUGAGUCAUUUCAGAAAGUCAAACCUUUGUAUGAUAUAGCCUCAUGAAACAUAUAAUUAAAUAUUACCUUUAUUUAUUGAAAUAUUGGGUCCAGUUUUUCUGUAUCCAAAUGAUCUGGAUUUGGAAAUCCUCUUUCUUGCUAUCCAGGAUCAAGCAAUUCGUCUUUCUGUUAUGCUGGUUGAAUCUGAUCAACCCGGAUCCAGAUGCAGCUUUCAAGUUUACCAAAUCCAGAUAAGCAGUGCUCUCAGUGGAACAUAUCAUAAUGUGGCCGAGCAGCAAAGUAAAUGACAACAGGGAGAAGAGCCAACAUGGGCUCACUUUAGGAGUUUUUAUUCUGAGACAAACGUUUCCUCAUGUCAAGCCACUUCUGAACAAGAGAACGAGUCAGAAGCGUCGGACUGACGUCGACUCACAUCAGCAGCUGUGGAGAAAAAGAACUGAACUGUUGCUCAAUGGUCCAAAGUCCUUCUCUUCAGAUGACAGUCAAUUUUAUCAAUCGUUUGGAAAUCAAGGUCCCAGAGUCUGGAGGAAGAGUGGAGAGGUUUGGGGACUCAUCGUCAUCAUCAUCAUCAUCGUCAUUAUCAAAGAUUGUUGGCUGGAAACAUUGGACCCUGACCAAGCGGCUCCAGGCUGCACGUCCACUAGCAAUACUCUUGACACUCCAAACCCUGAGUCCCGUCUGAUUCCUUGAUUAUUUUUUUAUCUAAUAAAAUCCAGUAAUGUCUCGUGAGAUGGAGACAUAUUUUGCAAUUGCCUUGCCUUUAUUUGUACUGUUUUCUUCUUCUAUUUUUUUUAACUCAUUGAAACACUUUGUAAUGGACUUUUUCCCAGCAUAACUGGUUUUUUUCUGGUAAAUUCCUUUACCUUUAUCCUGGUACAUUUCUUUUAGUUCCUUUGUUGUGUUAAUUAAUUUGCCUUUCUAUUGAAACCACUUGGAUCAAUGCUUUUGUCCUAUGCAAGCCUUUUGUAUUCGGAAUAUUAUUAUUGCUCACAUUAAACGAAAAGUAAACGG